UACGAAGGGGGGCUAGCGUUGCUCGGAAUGACUGGGCGUAAAGGGCGCGUAGGCGGAUGGCACAGUCAGAUGUGAAAUUCCCGGGCUUAACCUGGGGGCUGCAUUUGAUACGUGUUGUCUUGAGUUCGGAAGAGGGUCGUGGAAUUCCCAGUGUAGAGGUGAAAUUCGUAGAUAUUGGGAAGAACACCGGUGGCGAAGGCGGCUCACUGGCUCGUAUCUGACGCUCAGGCGCGACAGCGUGGGGAUCAAACAGG
rnacentral:rRNA from 1 species